GUGAUCGCUUCGGCAGCACAUAUACUAAAAUUGGAACAAUGCAGAGAUUAGCAUGGCCCCUGCACAAGGAUGACAUGCAAAAUUCUUGAAGCAUUCCAUGUUUUU